rnacentral:lncRNA from 1 species
UCAAAAAUAGGUUAAGAAAGAAGAGAUAAAGGCUCAAUUUGGUUCAAAGAGGUUAUGGAAUGAAUGGAAAUUGUUAGGUGAACGUAAAACCAAGUAUUCAAGUUGAUCUAACACAAUAUAAGUGUGUUAUCCCGAAACUUAUACGAAUGCUUAGGUUGAGAUGGUAACGGUUAGGAAGGUAGGUAGUAGAAACGCAACCUCGACCCACUAUCAAUAUUGAUAGGAACCUCGGUAUAACUUGAACGCCACACUUUGGGUGCAAAGUGAUAAGUUCGAAAUACAAAAACGGGUUGACGCCACAAGGGUUACUUGAUAAGUCUAACCAGUCCUUGGAGAACAAUGAGAGUUGAAAACAAA